rnacentral:rRNA from 1 species
UACGUAGGGUGCAAGCGUUGUCCGGAAUUAUUGGGCGUAAAGAGCUCGUAGGCGGUCUGUUGCGUCGGCUGUGAAAACCCGGGGCUCAACCCCGGGCCUGCAGCCGAUACGGGCAGACUAGAGUUCGGCAGGGGAGACUGGAAUUCCUGGUGUAGCGGUGAAAUGCGCAGAUAUCAGGAGGAACACCGGUGGCGAAGGCGGGUCUCUGGGCCGAUACUGACGCUGAGGAGCGAAAGCGUGGGGAGCGAACAGGG